GAUGAACGCUGGCGGCGUGCUUAACACAUGCAAGUCGAACGAAGCAUUUAAACGGAGCUCUUCGGAGUGAAGUUUUUAUGACUGAGUGGCGGACGGGUGAGUAACGCGUGGAUAACCUGCCUUACACAGGGGGAUAACAGCCAGAAAUGGCUGCUAAUACCGCAUAAGCGCACAGGACCGCAUGGUCUGGUGUGAAAAGCUCCGGCGGUGUAAGAUGGAUCCGCGUCUGAUUAGCUAGUUGGCGGGGUAACGGCCCACCAAGGCGACGAUCAGUAGCCGGCCUGAGAGGGUGGACGGCCACAUUGGGACUGAGACACGGCCCAGACUCCUACGGGAGGCAGCAGUGGGGAAUAUUGCACAAUGGGGGAAACCCUGAUGCAGCGACGCCGCGUGAAGGAAGAAGUAUCUCGGUAUGUAAACUUCUAUCAGCAGGGAAGAAAAUGACGGUACCUGACUAAGAAGCCCCGGCUAAUUACGUGCCAGCAGCCGCAGUAACAC
rnacentral:rRNA from 1 species